UCAUACUGUUACUUGAAACAUACAAGGAAAAGAAAUUGACAGAAAAAAAUGAACGAAAAAUUAAGAAGGAAAGAUUAAUAAAAAUAAAUAACAAGAAAAAAAAUGAAAAAAAAAAAUAGAAAUUUAAUUUAAAGAAGAAAAAUAACAAAAAAAUAAUUUUAAUAAAACUAAAUCCAUAAAAUAAAAGAAUUUUCUAAUCAAAGAUUAGUAGAAGUAAUUCAAUCUCUUAACCAC
rnacentral:lncRNA from 1 species